rnacentral:rRNA from 1 species
ACGGCUCAGUAACACGUGGAUAACCUGCCCUUGGGUCCGGCAUAACCCCGGGAAACUGGGGAUAAUUCCGGAUAACGCACAUAUGCUGGAAUGCUUUAUGCGUAAAAUGGAUUCGUCUGCCCAAGGAUGGGUCUGCGGCCUAUCAGGUAGUAGUGGGUGUAAUGUACCUACUAGCCUACAACGGGUACGGGUUGUGAGAGCAAGAGCCCGGAGAUGGAUUCUGAGACAUGAAUCCAGGCCCUACGGGGCGCAGCAGGCGCGAAAACUUUACAAUGCGGGAAACCGUGAUAAGGGGACACCGAGUGCCAACAUCAUAUGCUGGCUGUCCAGGUGUGUAAAAUACACCUGUUAGCAAGGGCCGGGCAAGACCGGUGCCAGCCGCCGCGGUAACACCGGCGGCCCGAGUGGUGAUCGUGAUUAUUGGGUCUAAAGGGUCCGUAGCCGGUUUGGUCAGUCCUCCGGGAAAUCUGACGGCUUAACCGUUAGGCUUUCGGGGGAUACUGCCAGGCUUGGAACCGGGAGAGGUAAGAGGUACUACAGGGGUAGGAGUGAAAUCUUGUAAUCCCUGUGGGACCACCUGUGGCGAAGGCGUCUUACCAGAACGGGUUCGACGGAGAGGGACGAAAGCUGGGGGCACGAACCGGAUUAGAUACCCGGGUAGUCCCAGCCGUAAACGAUGCUCGCUAGGUGUCAGGCAUGGCGCGACCGUGUCUGGUGCUGCAGGGAAGCCGUGAAGCGAGCCACCUGGGAAGUACGGCCGCAAGGCUGAAACUUAAAGGAAUUGGCGGGGGAGCAC